rnacentral:rRNA from 1 species
UACGGGGGAUGCAAGCGUUAUCCGGAUUUACUGGGUGUAAAGGGCGUGUAGGCGGGAAAGCAAGUCAGAUGUGAAAACCACGGGCUCAACCUGUGGCCUGCAUUUGAAACUGUUUUUCUUGAGUACUGGAGAGGCAGACGGAAUUCCUCGUGUAGCGGUGAAAUGCGUAGAUAUGAGGAGGAACACCAGUGGCGAAGGCGGUCUGCUGGACAGCAACUGACGCUGAGGCGCGAAAGCGUGGGGAGCAAACAGG